rnacentral:rRNA from 1 species
GGGAAUAUUGGACAAUGGGCGAAAGCCUGAUCCAGCAAUGCCGCGUGGGUGAAGAAGGUUUUCGGAUUGUAAAGCCCUUUCGGCGGGGACGAUGAUGACGGUACCCGCAGAAGAAGCUCCGGCUAACUUCGUGCCAGCAGCCGCGGUAAUACGAAGGGGGCUAGCGUUGCUCGGAAUGACUGGGCGUAAAGGGCGCGUAGGCGGUUCGUACAGUCGGGUGUGAAAUUCCUGGGCUUAACCUGGGGACUGCCCUCGAGACGUGCGGGCUAGAGUGGGGAAGAGGGUCGUGGAAUUCCCAGUGUAGAGGUGAAAUUCGUAGAUAUUGGGAAGAACACCGGUGGCGAAGGCGGCGACCUGGUCCUUGACUGACGCUGAGGCGCGAAAGCGUGGGGAGCAAAC